GAGUGACCGUGGAAGCUGCCCCUAGACCUCCUGGAGGAUGUGCCUCCACUGGACUCACUGUGUCCUCCAAUCAUGUGGACUCGCACCUCUUUGCCGUCUGUGUUAGCAGCCGCUCCGCCUGAAGCUGGUGUCCUGUGUGUUGGCUGUAGACUGCUUCAUUUUCGCCUUCUACUGGCAGACUAUUGGAAUGACACCUUCGCCGAGGAAUCAAGGAUCAGAUGAUCCACUGUGGCGACCCCUGAACGGAGCAGCCGAGAGAGGAAGAAGAAGACACAAUCUAAACACUGCAGCCGUGCUGUCGGUGUGCACUGAUAAUCUCUGAGUCACUGCUCCUCUGUGCAGGGCUACUGCUUUGUUGUUGUUUGCACCAACAUCAGCGGGACCUGCAAAAGGUCAACGGCUGCUGCUACUGAGGAGAGUAAGAAACCGUCGUGAUCACAACAGCUGCAUAUAAACAGACGUAACAGAGACUGGGUUUAUUUACUAGUGUAAAUGACGUGAGCCGUUACUGUGUGGAGAAGGAGGAAUGUAAGCAGACCGCUUCAUGUUGAAGCGACGUCUUCCAGAAGAGAAGACAACACUGUGGAUUUCCACUCUCAGUGAUAAAAUACUGCGACAGAUAUUCUCCAUUUAAAAGAUGGUAUACAUCCCUCCGUCCUGCUGUAGCUUCUUCCACUUUGUACAUGAAAAUAUUUUUUUAAGCAUUCAUUUAUCAUUAAUUGUUAAAUUAUUUAGGAGUAUGAGGACAAAUAAAUAUAUUUUUCCUA